AAAUCACUUAGCCUUUGCCUCAGUUUCCCUGUCUACAAAACGGGGCCGUGGCGAGGCUCCAAGUCCUAAUUCUGGCUGGGGCUGUCAGGAAUCCAGACGGAGGGCUUUGUCAGGAUGACAGGGGCUGCCCGGCAGGGAAACCCAAACGCAAGGGCCACGGCAUCCGGACCGGCAA